rnacentral:rRNA from 1 species
AGAGUUUGAUCAUGGCUCAGAACGAACGCUGGCGGCGCGCCUAAUACAUGCAAGUCGAGCGAGAAGGUGUAGCAAUACACUUGUAAAGCGGCGAACGGGUGAGGAAUGCAUGGGUAACCUACCCUCGAGUGGGGAAUAACUAGCCGAAAGGUUAGCUAAUACCGCAUACGUUUCCGGGACUUCGGUUCCGGAAAGAAAGCAAUACCGUGGGUAUUGCGCUCAUGGAUGGGCUCAUGUCCUAUCAGCUUGUUGGUGAGGUAACGGCUCACCAAGGCUUCGACGGGUAGCUGGUCUGAGAGGACGAUCAGCCACACUGGCACUGCGACACGGGCCAGACUCCUACGGGAGGCAGCAGUAUGGAAUAUUGCGCAAUGGACGAAAGUCUGACGCAGCGACGCCGCGUGGGGGAUGAAGGUCUUCGGAUUGUAAACCCCUUUCGGGAGGGAAGAUGGAGUGGGUAACCACUUGGACGGUACCUCCAGAAGCAGCCACGGCUAACUUCGUGCCAGCAGCCGCGGUAAUACGAAGGUGGCAAGCGUUGUUCGGAUUCACUGGGCGUACAGGGAGCGUAGGCGGUUGGGUAAGCCCUCCGUGAAAUCUCCGGGCCUAACCCGGAAAGUGCAGAGGGGACUGCUCAGCUAGAGGAUGGGAGAGGAGCGCGGAAUUCCCGGUGUAGCGGUGAAAUGCGUAGAGAUCGGGAGGAAGGCCGGUGGCGAAGGCGGCGCUCUGGAACAUUUCUGACGCUGAGGCUCGAAAGCGUGGGGAGCAAACAGGAUUAGAUACCCUGGUAGUCCAA